UACCAGAGAAAUCGCGGGCUAGUACUUAUAGUUAUGCAAAUGUUUUCUUAUUUCCUCGCAGUAGUCGUGAAAAGCACUAUGUAAUGCCUCGGCCGGAAACGCUAAAGAUGGACUCGUAUUAUUCGAGGGCCUCCACUAACGUGUCGGCCCUCGAACUCACUCGUCCAUCUUUUAGCGAUUUUCCGUCCUCUCCUACAAUGUACUAUACCGCCAUCAGAAAGGUUCAGCUCACUUCUCAUAUCGACAAAAUUACGUCAAAGGCAUAUAGAAUGUUAGGUUUUAUUUUCCGACAAAGUAAAAAUUUUAGUGAUCCUCGAACCAUUAUUUUACUUUAUAAUGCCUUUGUCAGAUCGCAUUUAGAAUUCGCUUCGGUCGUUUGGAGUCCUCAAUAUGCAGUGCAUAUUAAUGCCAUUGAAAAAAUCCAAAAUAAAUUUAUUAAAUGGUUGAAAUAUAGAUUCAAAUUGUUUGAUAGUGAUAACAUGGUAAGUCUCCAGCUGCGCAGGGAGCAAAAAGAUCAAAUUUUUCUGUUUAAAUUACUAAACCAUCUAAUCGAGUCGCAAUAUCUUAUUAGCAAUAUUUCAUAUAGAUGUCCUAAUUCCCGAACUAGAUCCAAAGCUUUAUUUGCCAUUCCAUUCUAGCAUGCUCUACGUAUAACUCUAAAUAUUCCAAUUUUGAUGUGUUCAACAUGAAGCUGGGUAAAUUUGUCACCUCAAUGAAAAA